AGAUUAUCAAGAUGCUUUCGUUGAAAAUUAUACCUUGACAAUGUCCAUCCAUCUCUCGGAUGAAUAAUCU
rnacentral:sRNA from 1 species